rnacentral:rRNA from 1 species
AACGCGAAGAACCUUACCAGGUCUUGACAUCCCAUUGACCGGCUUAGAGAUAAGUCUUUCCCUUCGGGGACAGUGGUGACAGGUGGUGCAUGGUUGUCGUCAGCUCGUGUCGUGAGAUGUUGGGUUAAGUCCCGCAACGAGCGCAACCCUUGAUCUUAGUUGCCAGCAUUCAGUUGGGCACUCUAAGGUGACUGCCGGUGACAAACCGGAGGAAGGUGGGGAUGACGUCAAAUCAUCAUGCCCCUUAUGACCUGGGCUACACACGUGCUACAAUGGACGGUACAAAGGGCAGCGAACCCGCGAGGGGAAGCCAAUCCCAUAAAACCGUUCUCAGUUCGGAUUGUAGGCUGCAACUCGCCUACAUGAAGCCGGAAUCGCUAGUAAUCGUGGAUCAGCAUGCCACGGUGAAUACGUUCCCGGGGCCUUGUACACACCGGAGUGC